CAAAAAUCAGUUUCACCAAGCUGAGACCAGAUGUUGGCAGAACCGACUCCCUCUGAAGGUUCCAGGGUUUACAGAUGACUAACUCAGCAACCGCAGGUCCUUCUCAUGUUGUAAAACUGGAAAGUAGCUGUCUUUGAUCUCCAUGCAGCAGUUGUGCAUCCAAAAUCUAGAAUUUUCAACCCGUCAGCCCCACCACAUGUAUUUUCCCUUCUCUUUCUCCUGCUAAUAUUCUUCUUCCUCUUCUUCACCGUGCAGACCUCCAAGGGCAUAUUCUACAUCAGCCAUUUUCCUCAAACUUCUUUCAUUUAAUGUUCAGGAAAAAGCCCACCUCUUCCACUCAGUGUCCGUCCCUGUGACCAUGGAAAGUGAGAAUUCUUUCCCUCACUUGGCCUAUGUAAGAGCUGACACACCCUGAUCAUUUAUAAUAUAAUGCUAAGUGGUGGCUAAGUCACUAUUGGCACGGAUUAACUUUUUAUCUAGUUUAUACCUGGGGGAAAUGGCUUUGGACUGUUGAUCACACGAGGUCAUUUUAGAUCUUCCCUGAAAAGAGUUUGCAAGGCCAGGCUGAUAGUCACUGCAGCUCUGUGCCUCCCUGCUAAGAUCCCAUUAGGGUUUUGACCAAGAACAUGGUAAUAUUUCAUGACAGAACUUGAAAAAGUUAAAAAUGUAUAGAUGAACUAAUGCUUUA